rnacentral:rRNA from 1 species
GAUGAACGCUAGCGGCAGGCUUAACACAUGCAAGUCGAGGGGUAUAGUUCUUCGGAACUAGAGACCGGCGCACGGGUGCGUAACGCGCAUGCAAUCUACCUUUUACAGAGGGAUAGCCCAGAGAAAUUUGGAUUAAUACCUCAUAGCAUUAUGAUAUGGCAUCGUAUUAUAAUUAAAGUUCCAACGGUAAAAGAUGAGCAUGCGUCCCAUUAGCUAGUUGGUGUGGUAACGGCACACCAAGGCUACGAUGGGUAGGGGUCCUGAGAGGGAGAUCCCCCACACUGGUACUGAGACACGGACCAGACUCCUACGGGAGGCAGCAGUGAGGAAUAUUGGACAAUGGGCGCAAGCCUGAUCCAGCCAUGCCGCGUGCAGGAUGAAGCAUCUAUGGUGUGUAAACUGCUUUUAUACAGGAAGAAACCCUCCCACGUGUGGGAGAUUGACGGUACUGUAGGAAUAAGGAUCGGCUAACUCCGUGC